rnacentral:rRNA from 1 species
UACAGAGGGUGCGAGCGUUAAUCGGAAUUACUGGGCGUAAAGCGCGCGUAGGCGGCUUUGCAAGUCGGGUGUGAAAUCCCCAGGCUUAACCUGGGAACUGCAUUCGAGACUGCAUUGCUAGAGUAUGGGAGAGGGAAGUGGAAUUUCCGGUGUAGCGGUGAAAUGCGUAGAUAUCGGAAGGAACAUCAGUGGCGAAAGCGACUUCCUGGACCAAUACUGACACUCAGGUGCGACAGCGUGGGGAGCAAACAGG